GAAAAAUAAAACUUUAUACAACUUUUUGAUAGUGGUUAAAAAACAGAGUCACCUACAUAAAAAAUCAUUGGAACACACGUGGAAAUCAAAUCCUAGUAUUUUCUAAUAAUUCAUUCAAUGGGAAAAUUACAAGUGAAAGCCUCUAGAUCCUCUUGAUUGGUAAAGCUCGAGUCUGCUCUUAGCUUCAUACAACAAAGCUUCCAUAUCUUCAUCUUCAAGUACAUUAGCUUGCUUCGAUGACCAUUCCAAUACCGUUAACACUUCGUCUUUCGCUAACUGUUCACUGUCUGGAACAUUCAUCGCCACGUAGCUCAGCAAAACCAUCGCCGGAAUCUGUGCUCCGUUCUCUCCGAAAUACGCUAACUGAACCAGAAGCUUUGAUCCUCCAGCUUCGAUGAUUGUCCUCGAGUGUUCUUUCCCUAAAAAGUUAUCCUCCGUCGCGAAUUUCGCUAACGCGAUCGCUACCUCCGCCGCUAAAUCUGGUUCUCCGUCGUCGAGGAGUUUUACCAGAGGCACGAUCAUAUGCGUUUCCGCUGAUUUGAACGUUCUCGCUAGGUUUCCGAUGGAUCUUACACAGGGGAUGAGUAAAUCGGAUCCGGCGUCGGCGUUUUCAACGAUUCGGAAUAACUGGUCAACCACCGCUUUGCACGCCGGUGAAGUGCGUCUGAACGCGGAUCUUCUCAGAUCUGCGUUUUCCUCAGCCACGGCGGUUAUCUCCAUGAUAGCCAUAGCUGUGUUAUACUUAGUCUCUUCGUCUCCUUUGUCUAGUAAAACCGCAAAACAGAGUAAAGCUCGUGACUCGGUGAUGACUCGGCAGAUCGAUGAGUUUCCUACAGCGAGUUUCCAUAACGCUCUCGCCGCCAUCGCUUUCAUAUAAGUCUUCGUCACCGGAUCUUCAAGCUCUCUCCCUCUCGUCACCGACGCGUUUCGCGAUUGAUGUGCGAUACUACCGUAAGCCUUGAUCUGUGAACUCAUACUAUAACUCUUCUCCGGUAUCUUUUCCGGGGGUUUAUCGUCGUCGCCGGUAACAAAUCGGCUAGAAAGAUUCGAUUUCGAUCCUGAUCCAACCGCUUUCAUCGCCAUUGUUGUUGCAACGAUGCUAUGCAUCUGAUUCGUCAUCGGACUCGAGACUCCGAUAUGAUUAUCGUCGUCCUCCUCCUCGUUCAACGCCGGUAAAUUCUCUUUACUACUACUGAUUUUACUCGCCAUUACGACGGCGUGAUGCAUCGACGUUGCUCUACCCGCAACAACCGCGUAUUUGCUAUGUUCUUGAACCGUUUCAAACGCUAAAUGACUCACAAGAAGCCUAAUCACGUUGUUUUGCGCAAACAGUUCUUGACAUUUGGCGUGAUUACCAGAAACAAGCUCUGAAACAGCCCAAGCCACAACGGCUUGAACCUUCAUCGAACCUUCUUUAAGAAUACUUGAAAGCACUGAACAAACACCAAGCUGAAUCAUAUGCUCAACACUUUCCGGGUCACGACCCAGUAACCCGAUUGUUCUCGCUGCGUUUUCUUGACCGUCGAUUUUACCUUCUUUUACAAGUUUCAACAAAGGGUUGACUCCGCCUUCUUCAACUAUCAGUUUCACGUAUCUAUCGUUAUCUCUUGCUAAAGAAGCCAACGACGCGGCGGCGUCUGAUUUAUCUUCCGGCGAACCGGUCAUCAGAACCGCGAUUUGUUCCCAAAUUAAGCACAAGAUUGGUUCGUUGGCUGCGAUUGGCGGGAGACCUAAGUAACCAAACCCUUCGUCGUCAUCGUUACCGGCUGGAGUUGAGACACGGAGGAGCCAAGAGACGUCGCCGACGGAGUUUUCUAGUUGAGAAAUCAUUUUACGGAAUGCUGCGGCGGGGAUUAUGUUGAAAAGUCGCAUUAUGUAGCCAUCGUCACGGCAUCUUUGGACCAUCGUCAAUGCUUUUUCAAGAACGUUUUCAGUGUCGUCGAGGAUACGGCGCGUGGGACGUUCGUAGAGGUCGGAGCUUGCACGGGCCGCUUGACGGAGAAGAGCAGCGAGCUUUUCCGUUUUGGACUUGAUAUCGGCACAUUCUUGUUUGUUGAUUGUGGCUUCAUCUCCGGCUUUCACCACUUGGUCUGCAAGUUGAAUCGGGCGAGACAAUAUCUGCUUGGCUAGAUCACCCAUGGAUAACGAAACUGGUUACGAUCAAGAAAAUCAAAAACGGGUUGAUCUUAAUUUUAAAGAAAAUGAAGAAACAUUUUGUUGGGGUUUGGUUUGGUUUGGUCUUUGAAACACGGUUUCUGUCAUUUCUAAUGUAUUUCUUACAGAACACGCCGGUCGUCGCCGGCUUUCGUUGUCGGAGUAAAUUACUUAUUAGUACAUUUACCAAGUCGUCUUAGCCCUUAUCGUUCUUUUUUUAAUAUUAAG